rnacentral:lncRNA from 1 species
CAGGGCGGUCAUUGCAAUUGAUUGAUCCAAAUUCCGAACCUCCAAUGCGGCGGCGUUAAAACGGUUGAUGUAAGUUCGGAUGGAUUCUCCCUCUUUUUGCUUGAUGUUGAUGAGGGACUCCAAACCUCUCCGGGGACGCCGGCUGCUGACGAAAUGAGCAACAAACUGAUGGUUCAUCUGAUCAAAAGAGAAGAUAGUAUCCGGCUUCAAUGCCCAGUACCAAUUUCUUGCUGC